AAGCAUGCAUCAGCCUCUCAGUAGCUGUGAUUACAGGCAUUGAGUCACCACUCCUGGAGAAAUAACAGGACUUUGGUGCUAUUCUCCAAGCUGAAAGCCAUCCUCUUCGGCCCUGAGGACACAGCUUUUUCUGCCAUAACUCACUGUCUCCACUGGCUCAAUUAGCCAAUUAGUGGCAUUGUAGAGGGCUGAGAUGUUACUUUUUAGUUUCCAA
rnacentral:lncRNA from 1 species